GAUGAACGCUGGCGGCGUGCCUAAUACAUGCAAGUCGAGCGAACGGACGAGAAGCUUGCUUCUCUGAUGUUAGCGGCGGACGGGUGAGUAACACGUGGAUAACCUACCUAUAAGACUGGGAUAACUUCGGGAAACCGGAGCUAAUACCGGAUAAUAUUUUGAACCGCAUGGUUCAAAAGUGAAAGACGGUCUUGCUGUCACUUAUAGAUGGAUCCGCGCUGCAUUAGCUAGUUGGUAAGGUAACGGCUUACCAAGGCAACGAUGCAUAGCCGACCUGAGAGGGUGAUCGGCCACACUGGAACUGAGACACGGCCCAGACUCCUACGGGAGGCAGCAGUAGGGAAUCUUCCGCAAUGGGCGAAAGCCUGACGGAGCAACGCCGCGUGAGUGAUGAAGGUCUUCGGAUCGUAAAACUCUGUUAUUAGGGAAGAACAUAUGUGUAAGUAACUGUGCACAUCUUGACGGUACCUAAUCAGAAAGCCACGGCUAACUACGUGCCAGCAGCCGCGGUAAUACGUAGGUGGCAAGCGUUAUCCGGAAUUAUUGGGCGUAAAGCGCGCGUAGGCGGUUUUUUAAGUCUGAUGUGAAAGCCCACGGCUCAACCGUGGAGGGUCAUUGGAAACUGGAAAACUUGAGUGCAGAAGAGGAAAGUGGAAUUCCAUGUGUAGCGGUGAAAUGCGCAGAGAUAUGGAGGAACACCAGUGGCGAAGGCGACUUUCUGGUCUGUAACUGACGCUGAUGUGCGAAAGCGUGGGGAUCAAACAGGAUUAGAUACCCUGGUAGUCCACGCCGUAAACGAUGAGUGCUAAGUGUUAGGGGGUUUCCGCCCCUUAGUGCUGCAGCUAACGCAUUAAGCACUCCGCCUGGGGAGUACGACCGCAAGGUUGAAACUCAAAGGAAUUGACGGGGACCCGCACAAGCGGUGGAGCAUGUGGUUUAAUUCGAAGCAACGCGAAGAACCUUACCAAAUCUUGACAUCCUUUGACAACUCUAGAGAUAGAGCUUUCCCCUUCGGGGGACAAAGUGACAGGUGGUGCAUGGUUGUCGUCAGCUCGUGUCGUGAGAUGUUGGGUUAAGUCCCGCAACGAGCGCAACCCUUAAGCUUAGUUGCCAUCAUUAAGUUGGGCACUCUAAGUUGACUGCCGGUGACAAACCGGAGGAAGGUGGGGAUGACGUCAAAUCAUCAUGCCCCUUAUGGUUUGGGCUACACACGUGCUACAAUGGACAAUACAAAGGGCAGCGAAACCGCGAGGUCAAGCAAAUCCCAUAAAGUUGUUCUCAGUUCGGAUUGUAGUCUGCAACUCGACUACAUGAAGCUGGAAUCGCUAGUAAUCGUAGAUCAGCAUGCUACGGUGAAUACGUUCCCGGGUCU
rnacentral:rRNA from 1 species